AACGAACGCUGGCGGCAUGCCUAACACAUGCAAGUCGAACGGAACCGUCGGGCUUAGUGGCGCACGGGUGGGUGACGCGGGGGAACCUGCCCUUAGGUCCGGAAUAACUCCCCGUAAGGGGUCCUAAGACCGGAUAAUGUCUUCGGACCAAAGAGUUAUCGCUGUUGGAUGGGCGUGGGAUGGAUUAGCUGGUUGGUAGGGUAAAAGCCUACCACGGCGACGAUCGAUAGCUGGUAUGAGAGGAUGGUCAGCCACACUGGGACUGAGACGCGGCCCAGAAUCCUACGGGAGGGAGGAGUGGGGAAUAUAGGACAGUGGGCGAAGGCCUGAUCCAGCCAUGCCGGGUAAGUGAUGAAGGCCUUAGGGUUGUAAAGCUCUUUUACACGGGGUGAUAAUGACGGUACCGGGAGAAUAAGCACCGGCUAACUCCGUG
rnacentral:rRNA from 1 species